ACCCGCACAAGCGGUGGAUGAUGUGGAUUAAUUCGAUGCAACGCGAAAACCUUACCUACCCUUGACAUGUCUGGAACCUUGCUGAGAGGCGAGGGUGCCUUCGGGAGCCAGAACACAGGUGCUGCAUGGCUGUCGUCAGCUCGUGUCGUGAGAUGUUGGGUUAAGUCCCGCAACGAGCGCAACCCUUGUCAUUAGUUGCCAUCAUUUAGUUGGGCACUCUAAUGAGACUGCCGGUGACAAACCGGAGGAAGGUGGGGAUGACGUCAAGUCCUCAUGGCCCUUAUGGGUAGGGCUUCACACGUCAUACAAUGGUCGGUACAGAGGGUUGCCAAGCCGCGAGGUGGAGCCAAUCCCUUAAAGCCGAUCGUAGUCCGGAUCGUAGUCUGCAACUCGACUACGUGAAGUCGGAAUCGCUAGUAAUCGCAGGUCAGCAUGCUGCGGUGAAUACGUUCCCGGGUCUU
rnacentral:rRNA from 1 species